rnacentral:lncRNA from 1 species
CUGAGAGGGAAGUCUGAGCGUGCAGAUUUUAAAGGAACUUGACUUAUGGCAUCAAACCCCCUUAGGAUGCAGAGACCACCAACAUACUCCUUCCUGACUUCACUGUGCCCAAGUGGGAUGACAUAAGGGCUUCCCAGGUGGCGCUAGUGUUAAAGAACCCUCCUGCCGGUGCAGAAGACAUAAGAGACGCGGGUUUGAUCUUGGGAAGAUCCCCUGAAAGAGGGCAUGGCAAGCCACUCCAGUAUUCUUGCCUGGAGAAUCCCAUGGACAGAGGAGCCUGGCGGACUACGGUCCAUGGGGUCGCACAGAGUCGGACACGACGGAAGCCACGCGGCACACAUGCGUGCAAGAUGACAGUAAACAAGCCAUUUCUAUUUCCAGGACACCCGAUUUUUUAGCAUCUCAGGAAGCGUCAGAAGAUUCUCAGGGUUGUUGAAAGGCGGUGCAGGACCCAGAGGGAGAACAGACGAAAGCUGAAUUUCGCCGACGUGGAGAUGACCUGGGAGCUGAAGACCUGACUUUGGUUCCUGGUUUUUGCCUCUUCCCACCUCUUGGGCUUGACUCUUUUCUUUCUCUCGUCCCCCGAGGCCUCAGUUUCCCCGCCUGAAAUGUGCAGCCAGAACAAUUUGCUAAUCCAGUGCCCAUGGAUGGGCAGAAAAAAUAUUUUGAAUUCUCAUCACCUUUUUUUCCUUUGAAUGAACUUGUUUAUCCCGCUGGACAGGGUCGGAGAGAGUCGAGGAGGAGGAGCAGCGAGGGGAGUGCCAUCCAGCUAAGCUGACGUGACGCAUUAGAAGGUCUGACCCCCGGACAGAGGGCCGUGUUGUCGGGCCUCGGAGCACCCUUCUGGAAGCCGAUGGCCAGGUCUGAUGCAACCGUGCCAGGAACUCCUGGGCCUGAAGAUUGGCCUGCGUCAGACAGAGCAGAAGGCAGGCCCGGCUCCUGUCACCAAAAUCGGAUUUUCUUGCCCAUACAUGGCUUGGAGCAGCCUGACUCAGCCCCGUGGAAUGAUGGCAGGGAUUUAUUCCCGCUCAUCUGGAGGUAAACUCGUUUUUACCAGGGCCAUUCAACCACUGAAUCAGAGGGGAAGGGAGGAGGGAAGCAAGUUAUUUCUUGUUCAUGCAAAAGGAGGGUAA